CUGAAGAUAUAUAUUUUAAUGGACACAUGACACCUAUUUCUGUCUUUUAGAUAUUACCAAAAAAGAGUAAUUGUUGAUUAUUUUAUUGGAUAUUGAAAGAAUAAAAAAUGCAGCUAAGAAGUCAGAAGUUAAAAAAAGCCCUAAAUACCUCAAAUUCCAGACCCUGCCCUCUACCUGUACUAGCUGACCAUAAAGUUAGAUUAAAAUCUUAGAGAAUAAUCUUGAGAAGCAGGAAGCUUCUCCCAGGAACUGAUGGACCAUAAAGUAAACAAUCUUGAGAAACAGGAAGCUCCUCCUUGUGAUUUUUCACUGGUAUUCUCGACAUUUUCCAAUGAUGCCCUCCCUACCUGCUGGGGUUGAGGUUUCUUCCUUUAAAUUCCCCUUGUCUUAGUUACUGGGGGUCGAACUCCACUGCCCCUGCAUGGGAUAUGAGUCUCGACCUCAGUGCACUGGUUCCUAUCAAUAAACCUCAUGUUUAUUACAGCAAGAACGGUAUCACGUGAGUUCUUGGGGGGUCGCAUCAUCCCGAGACUUGAGUGAGGGUCUCCCCGCUCUGGGGGUCUUUCAAUAUUUCCAACUUUAUUUAACUAGAUGUCGACAUUAAAACCGCAGUUAGUGAAAUUUAUGUUUAUCUUUAUUAUUUUUAUAUUUUCAUGAAGAAGUUUCAGAAAUAGUCACAGAAACAUAUUUAUUCAAUAGUGUGAGCUAGUGAUUGUCAAAUCCUAUUGAAUAAUAUUUUUAUAUGUAGUCUUUGAGAGAAGAGAGUCACAUUGAUGAAUCUUCAGACACAUAUUAGCUAUUAAAUAGUGGGUUAUGAUAUUGAUACAAUAAGAUAGCAACAAUUGAGUGAUGAAAAAUGGACUCUUGUGAUCUCUACUUCAGUUGGUUUGCUCAUUUCAGCUCUGAACGAUAUUGCUGCUCACCAACUCACUUACUGUUGUCCAGCAGACAGAGACAUCGCUCUGUCCAUGAAACUUAUGUAUUAAAUUCACAUUUUCUGUAUAUCUUCAAGGAUACAUUUAAUUGUUGUUGCUGGUCUUCUGUGGUUUUGUUCUACAUGCUACUGAUAUAUCAGGAUGGAAACAAUCCUUUUAUCCCGUCUUAAUCAUAUUAAAUAUGUUUCCUUUUCCUUCUGGCUCUGUUCCAUCAUGUAGAAUCUUAGAAGAAGGUGAAAAUUGCUGAGGCCACUCUAACUGUAUUUAACUACAGAAAAAAAAAUUCCAAGGCAAAAAGUAAAUAAGUCAGUAAUUAAAGAAUUAUUUAUGUUAAUAAGUUUUUGGAAUCUUUGAAUCUACAAAGCUUAAAGAAAGUAAAAAUUAAACACUACAGACACAGUGGAAUAUUUCCAGAAUUAUUUUCAAGAAAUAUAAGAUUGAAAAACAAAAACCUUUUGAAAGGAAGAUAUUGAAGGCCCACAUUUAUAGUAAAUCUGAGCUCUUUCUGUGGGAGCCUGUGAACAUGGAGAUAAUGUAAUUCUCAUAGUAACCACUGUAAUGUUUUUAAUGAACAAAUAGUUAUUGACUUUUUCCUUUUUGAGAGAUAGAGAUUCAAUUAUUCAGUUAGUUGUUCUUCUUUUAUCACUCAGGAGCUUUAUUUGUAAUGUAUUCAGUGUGACCAACUCUUCUCUAGCUACUGACUUUUAUCCCAGCCUGAAGAGGCAGGUUAGACACAUUUUGUUUGUUUGUUUGUUUGUUUUUUUACUGUUCUUACUGCUUUUGAUUUCUGUUGGUGGUGGUGGUGGUUGUUUUUGUUUUGUAGGGUCCCUUUUUGGUAGUUGGUUAAUUUGAACCUUGAACUAUUAAUUUUAUAAAUAUAUCACAUAAAGGCUUUUAUUUUCUUUUAACUUAAAACUGAAAUCUCACGUGAGAAUUUUUGAUGCUAGAGAACAUAGUGUGCUUAUUUUUCUACAGUUCCUAAACUCACUUUUUCAAAUUCAGUUAGGAAAUCCACAGGAUUGCAAAUCAGAUCACAGCCAUGAUGUUGAAGAAGCAGUGAGGUAGUUAUCCUAGUUAAUUUUACCACUGAUAAUAGAUUUUUUUCAUAAUCUUUCUAGAUCUUGUGCUAUUUAAAAACACAAGGAAGCAAUGGAACUAACAUGCCCACUAAGAGAAAGAUGAAAUUUCCAUUUAGAAAUGGGCAUUGACAGCUAAGUGUGAAUACCUUAAUUGUGAUUACAUCAAAUAAAGUACACUUGCAUAGAAUAUCUGAAUUGUGGCACACCCAUAAUAUAAUAGGAAAAGAUCUGGAGGCAUAAGACAGCAAGGUUUCCGUCUUGUUGGGAUCCCACCCUGGCUGCAUUUGAUGAUAAACUGUGAUGUGGAAGAGGAAGCCAAAAUUCCUUUCUUCAAGAUGCAUUUCAUCACGUUUCAUCUCACCAAUGGAAACCCAGGAGUUAGUGCAACUCAAGAAAGAUGGCCAUGUGAAAAGAAGGUUUAUUUGAAGAGAUACAACAUCUCAAUGAUACCUGAAGAGGAAGUUACAAAUGAAAAAUCAAUGUUCUGUGCUGCAUGGAUUCCCUCCAUAAUACUGUAGAACUUGUUGUCCCAGGAGGGAAGAUGCAGAGGGGGAGGGUAGCACACUCUCAGACACAAGAGGAAAGGGGCUCCAAGGUGGGGCAACAUUGGGUUGUAAAUAAAUAGAAUACUUAAUUAAAAUAUAAUAAAAUGAAAGUAACAUGCCAAUAAAGAGAUAAUAAAUAUUUUUAACAAAUUA